rnacentral:lncRNA from 1 species
CAGGGAAACGGAGAGCUAGAGACACAGAACCCAGAGGCAGCAUCUGGUCACCUUCACCACGUGGCCCAACCACAAUGGGUCCUGUCCGCAGGCCCGCUCCAGGUCCCUUCUGUGUCCACACCUGGGAGGCAUCGGUUUUCCCCGAUCUGCUCCCUCGUUAAAUCGCUUGCACAAGCAUCUACCUCAGCAGCCACCCGUCUCUGACCCCACUCCUCCCUGAACUCAUCUCCGUGCUGGGGAUGCUGGUCUGGGGCUCUCAGCGCCCCUGAAUCUGGGGAUGGGGGCAGUGAUUUCCUCAAGAACAAGGAGAAGUGAGAAGGCUGAGCAGUGGUCCCCAAGGAGUAUGAUGCCCGGUGUGCAGACCGUCAGAUGUCGCUGCUCGGUGGGGUCAGAGUUGGAGGCAGACGGAUGAAGAUGCGCUUCUCCAGGUCUUGGAUGACAGUGGGAGUCUUUUUGCCCCACGGCGAACUGGUUACCAGGUUUCAUUAUCUCCUGGACCACAGAUCUUUGAAACCCAGGGGGGCCAAAGAAAAAGAGACCCAUCACCCACUUGUUCCAGAUCGGAAUGCAAUUAGGACGGGAGAAGUGGUCGGUUUCACAGCCCCAUUUCACAGACAGAGGAACUAAGGCAGAUGGACGUGCGCAGGGCCCCGGGCUGGAGCAGAGAGGGCGGGCGAUGAACAUCUUACGGGUGUGAAAGGAGGCUCAGAGACACAUAGGUCUGGAACUGGACCCAAGGCUGGAACUGGAGCUGGAACUGGAAGCCAGGCCUGUUACCUCCAAUUUCCUGCUAUUUCUGCUCCCUCUUUGCUGCCAUCUGGGGGCUUUUUCUGGGCCUCUGUUUCCGCAUCUGUGAAAUGGGCCCAGAGACGGGACGCAGGUGAGCGUGAAGUGGUCUUAGGUUUUGGGUGGUCCAGGCCCUGUUACCUCCAAUUUCCUGCUAUUUCUGCUCCCUCUUUGCUGCCAUCUGGGGGCUUUUUCUGGGCCUCUGUUUCCGCAUCUGUGAAAUGGGCCCAGAGACGGGACGCAGGUGAGCGUGAAGUGGUCUUAGGUUUUG